CCCUUAGAUGUUCUGGGCCGCACGCGCGCUACACUGAUGCAUUCAACGAGUCUAAAACCUGCUCUGAUAGGGGUGGGUAAUCUUUUGAAUGUGCAUCGUGAUUGAGAUAGAUGAUUGCAAUUUUUCAUCUUCAACGAGGAAUGCCUAGUAAACGCAAGUCAUCAGCUUGCAUUGAUUACGUCCCUGCCCUUUGUACACACCGCCCGUCGCUCCUACCGAUUGAAUGAUCCGAUGAAUAUCAUGGAUUGAGGAUGCAAGUAGGUUCGCCUAUCUUCAUCUUCGAGAAGUGAAGUAAAUCUUAUCAUUUAGAGGAAGGAGAAGUCGUAACA
rnacentral:rRNA from 1 species